ACCUGGGUGGCUCAGUCGCUUAAGCGUCUGACUUCAGCUCAGGUCAUGAUCUCAUGGUUCGCGGGUUCGAGCCCCGCAUCAGGCU
rnacentral:tRNA from 1 species